AAUCAACGCUGGCGGCGUGCCUCAGACAUGCAAGUCGAACGAUUAAAGCUCUCUUCGGAGAGUGUAUAGAGUGGCGCACGGGCGAGUAACACGUAAGUAAUCUACCUUUGAGUGGGGAACUAACGUCCGGAAACGGACGCUAAUACCGCAUAAUGCAGCGCAUCGCAAGAUGACAGUUGUUAAAGAUUUAUCGCUUGAAGAGGAGCUUGCGGCAGAUUAGCUAGUUGGUAAGGUAA
rnacentral:rRNA from 1 species